rnacentral:rRNA from 1 species
CGAAUAGGGGCAACCCUUAGUAGAGCGGCGCACGGGUGCGUAACACGUGGAUAAUCUGCCUGGAUGCCCGGGAUAACCAGUCGAAAGAUUGGCUAAUACCGGAUAAGCCCACGGCCUCUUCGGAGACUGAGGGAAAAGGUGGCCUCUGUAUACAAGCUAUCACAACCAGAUGAGUCCGCGGCCCAUCAGCUAGUUGGCGGGGUAAUGGCCCACCAAGGCAACGACGGGUAGCUGGUCUGAGAGGACGAUCAGCCACACUGGAACUGAGACACGGUCCAGACUCCUACGGGAGGCAGCAGUGGGGAAUUUUGCGCAAUGGGCGAAAGCCUGACGCAGCAACGCCGCGUGUGUGAUGAAGGUCUUCGGAUUGUAAAGCACUUUCGACCGGGACGAAAACCCGUAGCCCAACACGCUACGGCUUGACGGUACCGGGAGAAGAAGCACCGGCUAACUCUGUGCCAGCAGCCGCGGUAAUACAGAGGGUGCAAGCGUUGUUCGGAAUUAUUGGGCGUAAAGCGCGUGUAGGCGGCGUGACAAGUCGGGUGUGAAAGCCCUCAGCUCAACUGAGGAAGUGCGCCCGAAACUGUCGUGCUUGAGUGCCGGAGAGGGUGGCGGAAUUCCCGAAGUAGAGGUGAAAUUCGUAGAUAUCGGGAGGAACACCGGUGGCGAAGGCGGCCACCUGGACGGUAACUGACGCUGAGACGCGAAAGCGUGGGGA